ensembl:snRNA U6 U6 spliceosomal RNA
GUGCUUGCUUCAGCAACAUAUAUCUAAAAAUUGAAACGAUACAGAGGAGAUUGGCGUGCCCCUGAGCAAGGAUGACAGGCAAAUUCACGAAGCGUUCCAUGUUUUU